rnacentral:rRNA from 1 species
GAUGAACGCUGGCGGCGUGCUUAACACAUGCAAGUCGAACGAAGCAUUCUUAAACUUUCGGGUUUAAGAAUGACUGAGUGGCGGACGGGUGAGUAACGCGUGGGUAACCUACCUUAUACAGGGGGAUAACAGUUAGAAAUGACUGCUAAUACCGCAUAAGCCAAUAGAGUCGCAUGACUUAGUUGGAAAAGAUUUAUCGGGUAUAAGAUGGACCCGCGUCUGAUUAGCUAGUUGGUGAGGUAAUGGCCCACCAAGGCAACGAUCAGUAGCCGGCUUGAGAGAGUGAACGGCCACAUUGGGACUGAGACACGGCCCAAACUCCUACGGGUGGCAG